GCGGCUGCGGCGGGGCGGGCAGGGCCUCCUGCCUUCCCCCGGCCCCCCCCCGUGUGUGUGUGGGGGGGUGUCGUGCCGUGCCAGGGGCUGGCCCCCUUCCCGGCAGCCGGUGGGGGUUGUGGCUCGGCGCCGGCGACCCUCCUUCCCUCCCUCCCUCCGCGGUCACGCAAGAAGCGAAGAGGUAGCGAGCGACAGGCGCCGGGUUGCAUUGCAAGUAAGCCCUGUCCUGUCUGGGCUGGAUACCCAGCCCCAGGUGCACAGUAUGGCCACAGCAUCGGGCACGGACGCUUCCUGCUUCCAGAGACAUUUCUUCAGCCCUGUGUUUCAAAAAACCGUUCACAGCCCAUUAAAAAAAUGCCAUAAGUGUGCAAGAGUGAAUAAAUAAUUGCACCAA